CCUACGGGCGGCAGCAGUGGGGGAUAUUGGGCAAUGGGCGGAAGCCUGACCCAGCAACGCCGCGUGAAGGAAGAAGGCUUUCGGGUUGUAAACUUCUUUUGACAGGGAAGAGCAGAAGACGGUACCUGUCGAAUAAGCCACGGCUAACUACGUGCCAGCAGCCGCGGUAAUACGUAGGUGGCAAGCGUUGUCCGGAAUUACUGGGUGUAAAGGGCGCGUAGCCGGGCUGACAAGUCAGAUGUGAAAGCCGGGGGCUCAACCCCCGAACUGCUCUGGAAACUGUGGGUCUGGAGUGUCGGAGAGGUAGGCGGAAUUCCUAGUGUAGCGGUGAAAUGCGUAGAUAUUAGGAGGAACACCAGUGGCGAAGGCGGCCUGCUGGACUACAACUGACGGUGAGGCGCGAAAGAGUGGGGAGCAAACAGGAUUAGAUACCCCUGUAGUC
rnacentral:rRNA from 1 species